GAUGAACGCUGGCGGCGUGCCUAAUACAUGCAAGUCGAGCGAACAGACGAGGAGCUUGCCCCUCUGACGUUAGCGGCGGACGGGUGAGUAACACGUGGAUAACCUACCUAUAAGACUGGGAUAACUUCGGGAAACCGGAGCCAAUACCGGAUAAUAUAUUGAACCGCAUGGUUCAAUAGUGAAAGACGGUUUUGCUGUCACUUAUAGAUGUUUCCACGCUGCAUUAGCUAGUUGGUAAGGUAACGGCUUACCAAGGCAACGAUGCGUAGCCGACCUGAGAGGGUGAUCGGCCACACUGGAACUGAGACACGGUCCAGACUCCUACGGGAGGCAGCAGUAGGGAAUCUUCCGCAAUGGGCGAAAGCCUGACGGAGCAACGCCGCGUGAGUGAUGAAGGUCUUCGGAUCGUAAAACUCUGUUAUUAGGGAAGAACAAAUGUGUAAGUAACUAUGCACGUCUUGACGGUACCUAAUCAGAAAGCCACGGCUAACUACGUG
rnacentral:rRNA from 1 species